rnacentral:rRNA from 1 species
GGGAGGUAGUGACAAUAAAUAACAAUACGGGGUUCUUUCGGAUCUUGUAAUUGGAAUGAGUACAAUUUAAAUCUCUUAACGAGGAACAAUUGGAGGGCAAGUCUGGUGCCAGCAGCCGCGGUAAUUCCAGCUCCAAUAGCGUAUAUUAAAGUUGUUGCAGUUAAAAAGCUCGUAGUUGAAUUUCGGGAUCAAUUUGCUGGUCGUGCCUUCGGUACGCACUGGUAUUAUUGGUUUCUCCUUUCUGAUGAAUCGCGAUGUCAUUAAUUUGGUGUCGUGGGGAAUCAGGACCGUUACUUUGAAAAAAUUAGAGUGUUUAAAGCAGGCUCACGCUUGAAUACAUUAGCAUGGAAUAAUGAAAUAGGACGUUUGAUUCUAUUUUGUUGGUUUCUAGGAUCGACGUAAUGAUUAAUAGGGAUAGUUGGG